UCGCCAACGCACGGCUGACCCAAAGUGCGCGCGCCGCACUGGACGUGUCAGGGCGUUACCUGUUUGCGGUGGAUCAUCGAGGGCGCAUCAUCUGGGCGACCCCGCAGGCGGAAAAGCUCGCGCGCGCACGAGGUGCCGACGAGAAAUUCGAACUGCCGGAGCCGUGGCUCGACUGGCUCGGCCAGAUGCAUCGGGGAAUGGCUGAAUCGAAAUCGCCGCCCGCGAUUUCAUUCCGCGACGAGAAGCUGCGUCUUCAAUACAUGGGCCGGCUCGGCGCGAACGAAUUCCUGCUCCGGCUGGCGCGGGACAGCGGUUCGGAUUCCCCGGCGGAAUUCAGCAAGGAAUUGGGACUGACCAGCCGCGAGGGAGAAGUGCUGUCGUGGCUGAGCAAGGGCAAGACCAACCGCGACAUCGCGCAGAUCCUGGGCCUCAGCCCGCGCACCGUCGACAAGCAUCUUGAGCAGAUUUACGCAAAGCUCGGCGUC
rnacentral:misc_RNA from 1 species